rnacentral:rRNA from 1 species
AGUGUCAUUGUAAUCUCACUACGAUCGACUUUUGUUGUUCUGUAUGUGGACUUGGAUGUUGCCGUGAAUAAACAAAAACGGCUCAUCUGAAAUGCCUGAGUGUACCCCGCUUUGCGGCGUAUUCGGUGUGAUAAAUCUUCACCGGAGUUGAUCCCUUUAUGGGGUCGCGUCUGUAAUGGUGUGGCUCUAUGCUUCAAACCGUCUCCUAUCAAGACAAACCUCUGACAAUUUGACCUCAAAUCGGGUGGGACUACCCGCUGAACUUAAGCAUAUCAAUAAGCGGAGGAAAAGAAACUAACAAGGAUUCCCCUAGUAACGGCGAGUGAAGAGGGAAAAGCUCAAAUUUUGAAUCUGGUGUCUUUGACUCCCGAGUUGUAAUCUAGAGAAGUGUUUUCCGUGUCGGACCGUGCACAAGUUCCCUGGAACGGGGCGUCAUAGAGGGUGAGAAUCCCGUAUAUGGCAUGGACUGCCGAUGCUUUUGUGAUACACUCUCAACGAGUCGAGUUGUUUGGGAAUGCAGCUCAAAAUGGGUGGUAAAUUCCAUCUAAAGCUAAAUAUUGGCGAGAGACCGAUAGCGAACAAGUACCGUGAGGGAAAGAUGAAAAGCACUUUGGAAAGAGAGUGAAACAGUACGUGAAAUUGUUGAAAGGGAAGCGUUUGAAGUCAGUCGUAUCUGGCGGGAUUCAGCCAGGCUUUUGCCAGGUGUACUUCUCGUCCGAUGGGUCAGCAUCAAUUUCGACCGGGGGAAAAAGACGUGUGGAAUGUGGCUGUCUUCGGGCAGUGUUAUAGCCAUGUGUUGUAUGCCUCGGUUGGGAUUGAGGAACGCAGCGCGCCUUAAGGCCAGGGGUUCGCCUC